rnacentral:rRNA from 1 species
GAUGAACGCUGGCGGCGUGCUUAACACAUGCAAGUCGAACGAAGCACCUUAUUCUGUUUUCUUCGGAAUGAAAAAUUUGGUGACUGAGUGGCGGACGGGUGAGUAACGCGUGGGUAACCUGCCUCAUACAGGGGGAUAACAGUUAGAAAUGACUGCUAAUACCGCAUAAGACCACAGCACCGCAUGGUGCAGGGGUAAAAACUCCGGUGGCAUGAGAUGGACCCGCGUCUGAUUAGGUAGUUGGUGGGGUAACGGCCUACCAAGCCGACGAUCAGUAGCCGACCUGAGAGGGUGACCGGCCACAUUGGGACUGAGACACGGCCCAAACUCCUACGGGAGGCAGCAGUGGGGAAUAUUGCACAAUGGGGGAAACCCUGAUGCAGCGACGCCGCGUGAGCGAUGAAGUAUUUCGGUAUGUAAAGCUCUAUCAGCAGGGAAGAAAAUGACGGUACCUGACUAAGAAGCACCGGCUAAAUACGUGCCAGCCGCCGCAGUAA